GAACUGUGCUAUAUUACUGGUCCAAAGUAACAUAAUCCUAAACCAGCGUAAUGCGAGACAGUGAGACACGACCUCAUCGGUUUUUCAACAAGGAAACAUGAAUCUGGAUUCGGAUAAUUUAAUCGCGAGGCAGGAACUCCAAUAUGCAUACUUGCAUACGUGCAGCAAACUCCAACUAAAACUUCUAAUGAAGGAGAUCAUAUACAUACUCGAGAAAUUGUAAUCGUGUGGUUCGAGUCGACGGAAGAUUUCUUAAUUUCCACCCUCCAAACAUUCUGAAACUUGUCCUCUCUGAAUACCAAUUAACUUGAUAAUAAAAUCUUGCCCUU